UUUCAAUAAUAGAUGGCUUUGGUGUUACUGACUUGGGGAUUGAAGCUAUGGGUAAAGGUUGCCCAAAUCUGAAGUAGUUUAGCCUCCGAAGUUGCACUUUUCUGGUAUCUGAUUUUUCUAUUACUGCUUUUUAAUUAUUUACUUGGUAGAACGCUUGCUCAGCUUGAAGAUGACAUUGCUCCUUGUGAAGCACAAAUGGAAAAUUGGAAAACGAACCUGACAAUUAUAGAUUCCAAAGAGAGGCAAUAUUUUCAACAGUAUUCU